UCGAGGAUCUUCGGCAAUGGGCGCAAGCCUGACCGAGCGACGCCGCGUGCGCGAUGAAGGCCUUCGGGUUGUAAAGCGCUGUCGAGGGGGAGGAAAUCCGGGUAACCGGUCUGACCUAUCCCUGGAGGAAGCUCGGGCUAAGUUCGUGCCAGCAGCCGCGGUAAGACGAACCGAGCGAACGUUGUUCGGAAUCACUGGGCUUAAAGGGCGCGUAGGCGGCCUGCCAAGUCAGGAGUGAAAUCUUUCGGCUUAACCGGAAAAGUGCUUUUGAUACUGGCGGGCUAGAGGGAGAUAGGGGCAUGUGGAACUUCCGGUGGAGCGGUGAAAUGCGUUGAUAUCGGAAGGAACGCCGGUGGCGAAAGCGACGUGCUGGACCUCUUCUGACGCUGAGGCGCGAAAGCCAGGGGAGCGAACGGGAUUAGAUACCCCCGUAGUCC
rnacentral:rRNA from 1 species